UCUCAUUAAACUUGUUUUAAUGAGUCUCAAAAUUCUGUGACAGAUUUUUGGUCAAAUUGGAAGAGCUCGUGU